GGUGCUCGCUCCUGCUUCAUUGUAGACUAAAAUUGGAAUAAUACAGAGAAGAUUAGCAUGGUCCCUGUGCAAAGAUGACGGGCAAAAAUUCACUGGACUCGGCCUGUUAA
ensembl:snRNA U6 U6 spliceosomal RNA